rnacentral:rRNA from 1 species
CCUACGGGUGGCAGCAGUAGGGAAUAUUGCUCAAUGGGGGAAACCCUGAAGCAGCAACGCCGCGUGGAGGAUGAAGGUUUUCGGAUUGUAAACUCCUUUUGUUAGAGAAGAUAAUGACGGUAUCUAACGAAUAAGCACCGGCUAACUCCGUGCCAGCAGCCGCGGUAAUACGGAGGGUGCAAGCGUUAUUCGGAAUGACUGGGCGUAAAGAGCGCGUAGGCGGGGUGGCAAGUCAGAUGUGAAAUCCUAUGGCUCAACCAUAGAACUGCAUUUGAAACUGUUAUUCUAGAGUAUGGGAGAGGUAGGUGGAAUUCUUGGUGUAGGGGUGAAAUGCGUAGAGAUCAAGAGGAAUACUCAUUGCGAAGGCGAACUGCUAGAACAUAACUGACGCUGAUGCGCGAAAGCGUGGGGAGCAAACAGGAUUAGAUACCCGGGUAGUC